rnacentral:rRNA from 1 species
AGAAUCAACGCUGGCGGCGUGCCUAACACAUGCAAGUCGAACGAGAAAGUGGAGCAAUCCAUGAGUACAGUGGCGUACGGGUGAGUAACACGUGACUAACCUACCCUCGAGUGGGGAAUAACCUCGGGAAACCGGGGCUAAUACCGCAUAACAUCUUCGGAUCAAAUGCGUAAGCAGCUUGAGGAGGGGGUCGCGGCCGAUUAGCUAGUUGGCGGGGUAAUGGCCCACCAAGGCAAUGAUCGGUAGCCGGCCUGAGAGGGCGCACGGCCACACUGGAACUGAAACACGGUCCAGACUCCUACGGGAGGCAGCAGUGGGGAAUUUUGCGCAAUGGGGGAAACCCUGACGCAGCAACGCCGCGUGGAGGAUGAAGCCCCGUUGGGGUGUAAACUCCUUUCGAUCGGGACGAUUAUGACGGUACCGGAUGAAGAAGCACCGGCUAACUCUGCGCCAGCAGCCGC